rnacentral:rRNA from 1 species
GACGAAGGAUGCAAGCGUUAUCCGGAUUCAUUGGGUUUAAAGGGCGCGUAGGUGGCCUUAUAAGUCAGUGGUGAAAUCUCUGGGCUUAACCCAGAAAUUGCCAUUGAUACUGUAGGGCUUGAGUAUAGUUGCCGUCGGCGGAAUAUGACAUGUAGUGGUGAAAUACAUAGAGAUGUCAUAGAACACCGAUUGCGAAGGCAGCUGACGAAACUAUAACUGACACUGAGGCUCGAAAGUGCGGGGAUCAAACAGG